rnacentral:lncRNA from 1 species
GGCCCUUUCUGGAGCUGGUGAUCCUUCUCAAAAGUCUACAGUAACCCUAGCAAAUCAUGAUAGUUUAUCACAGGCUUUAUUAUUCUAUAAUGAUUGAGAAAGGAUGGAUAAAAUUUUGAUAGUGAAUUGAGGAUAGUAUGUUAGAUGUGUGCCCUAGAUGCUAGAUUGGCUGACACAUUUCUGUACAAAUGUAAGGGCAAAUUUAUAAUUUUGACUAUAAAUGAAUAAAAGGGUUAUUCUACUAUCACAUU